rnacentral:rRNA from 1 species
GUGCCAGCAGCCGCGGUAAGACGAACCGUGCGAACGUUGUUCGGAAUCACUGGGCUUAAAGGGCGCGUAGGCGGGCGGGCAAGCCCGGGGUGAAAUCGUUCGGCUCAACCGGACAAGGGCCUCGGGGACUGCCGGCCUGGAGGGAGGUAGGGGCCGCGGGAACUUCCGGUGGAGCGGUGAAAUGCGUUGAUAUCGGAAGGAACGCCGGUGGCGAAAGCGCGCGGCUGGCCCUCUUCUGACGCUGAGGCGCGAAAGCCAGGGGAGCAAACGGGAUUAGAUACCCCGGUAGUCC